ACCUUCUGUCUAAAUAGCCUAAAGGCAUGAGAUCACCACUGGUCCUCGGGGCUAAGCAGGGUCAGUCCUGGUUAGUACUUGGAUGGGAGACUACCAACAAAUACCAGGUGUUGUAGGCU
rnacentral:rRNA from 11 species